UGGGCAUUGGUGAAAUGGUAAGGCACAGGACUUUGACUCCUGCAUUCGUUGGUUCAAAUCCAACAUGCCCAG
rnacentral:tRNA from 2 species